AGCGGCGGACGGGUGAGUAACGCGUGGGUAACCUGCCUCAUACAGGGGGAUAACAGUUGGAAACGGCUGCUAAUACCGCAUAAGCGCACAGUACCGCAUGGUACGGUGUGAAAAACUCCGGUGGUAUGAGAUGGACCCGCGUCUGAUUAGGUAGUUGGUGGGGUAAUGGCCUACCAAGCCGACGAUCAGUAGCCGACCUGAGAGGGUGACCGGCCACAUUGGGACUGAGACACGGCCCAA
rnacentral:rRNA from 1 species